rnacentral:rRNA from 1 species
CCUACGGGAGGCAGCAGUGAGGAAUAUUGGUCAAUGGUCGCGAGACUGAACCAGCCAAGCCGCGUGAGGGAUGACGGUACAGAGGAUCGUAAACUUCUUUUGUCAGGGAAUAAAGUCGGGCACGUGUGCCUUGUUGUGUGUACUUUAUGAAAAAGGAUCGGCUAACUCCGUGCCAGCAGCCGCGGUAAUACGGAGGAUGCGAGCGUUAUCCGGAUUUAUUGGGUUUAAAGGGUGCGGAGGGGGGUUGUUAAGUCAGGUGUGAACGUUUGUGGCUCAACCGCAACCUCGCAGGUGAUACUGGCAGUCUUGAGUAGAGGAGAGGUAGGCGGAAUGCGCGGUGUAGCGGUGAAAUGCUUAGAUAUCACGCAGAACUCCGAUUGCGAAGGCAGCAUACCAAAUCGACACUGACACUGAGGCUCGAAAGCGUGGGUAUCAAACAGGAUUAGAUACCCCAGUAGUC